GCUAGGUGUGGUGGUAUGCACCUGUAAUCCCAGCUACUGGGAAACUGAGGCAGGAGGAUUGCAGAUUUGAGGGCAGCCUCAGCUACUUAGGGAGACCCUGUUUCAA
rnacentral:sRNA from 1 species